rnacentral:rRNA from 1 species
AGCGAACGCUGGCGGCAGGCUUAACACAUGCAAGUCGAGCGGGCACUUUCGGCUGUCAGCGGCGGACGGGUGAGUAACGCGUGGGAACGUGCCCUCUUGCUCGUAAUAACGCAGGGAAACUUGAGCUAAUACCGGAUACUCCCUCUUGCGGAAAGGCUUGCUGCCGGAGGAUCGGCCCGCCUCUGAUUUGCUAGUUGGUCAGGUAACGGCUCACCAAGGCGACGAUCAGUAGCUGGUCUGAGAGGAUGAUCAGCGACACUGGGACUGAGACACGGCGCAGAAUCCUACGGGAGGCAGCAGUGGGGAAUAUUGGACAAUGGGCGCAAGCAUGAUCCAGCCAUGCCGCGUGAGUGAUGAAGGCCUUAGGGUUGUAAAGCACUUUUAUACGGGACGAUAAUGACGGUACCGGAGGAAUAAGCCCCGGCUAACUUCGUG